rnacentral:rRNA from 1 species
AACGAACGCUGGCGGCGCGCCUAAUACAUGCAAGUCGAGCGAGAAGACGUAGCAAUACGUUUGUAAAGCGGCGAACGGGUGAGGAAUACAUGGGUAACCUACCCUUGAGUGGGGAAUAACUAGCCGAAAGGUUAGCUAAUACCGCAUACGACUCUCGGUCUGCGGAUCGGGAGAGAAAGCGAUACCGUGGGUAUCGCGCUCUUGGAUGGGCUCAUGUCCUAUCAGCUUGUUGGUGAGGUAACGGCUCACCAAGGCUUCGACGGGUAGCUGGUCUGAGAGGACGAUCAGCCACACUGGCACUGCGACACGGGCCAGACUCCUACGGGAGGCAGCAGUAAGGAAUAUUGCGCAAUGGGCGACAGCCUGACGCAGCGACGCCGCGUGGGGGAUGAAGGUCUUCGGAUUGUAAACCCCUUUCGGCAGGGAAGAUGGAACGGGUAACCGUUCGGACGGUACCUGCAGAAGCAGCCACGGCUAAUUCGUG